rnacentral:rRNA from 1 species
GGUUAAGCGACUAAGCGUACACGGUGGAUGCCCUGGCAGUCAGAGGCGAUGAAGGACGUGCUAAUCUGCGAUAAGCGUCGGUAAGGUGAUAUGAACCGUUAUAACCGGCGAUUUCCGAAUGGGGAAACCCAGUGUGUUUCGACACACUAUCAUUAACUGAAUCCAUAGGUUAAUGAGGCGAACCGGGGGAACUGAAACAUCUAAGUACCCCGAGGAAAAGAAAUCAACCGAGAUUCCCCCAGUAGCGGCGAGCGAACGGGGAGCAGCCCAGAGCCUGAAUCAGUGUGUGUGUUAGUGGAAGCGUCUGGAAAGGCGCGCGAUACAGGGUGACAGCCCCGUACACAAAAAUGCACAUACUGUGAGCUCGAUGAGUAGGGCGGGACACGUGGUAUCCUGUCUGAAUAUGGGGGACCAUCCUCCAAGGCUAAAUACUCCUGACUGACCGAUAGUGAACCAGUACCGUGAGGGAAAGGCGAAAAAGAACCCCGGCGAGGGGAGUGAAAAGAACCUGAAACCGUGUACGUACAAGCAGUGGGAGCCUCUUUUAUGGGGUGACUGCGUACCUUUUGUAUAAUGGGUCAGCGACUUAUAUUCUGUAGCAAGGUUAACCGAAUAGGGGAGCCGAAGGGAAACCGAGUCUUAACCGGGCGUUAAGUUGCAGGGUAUAGACCCGAAACCCGGUGAUCUAGCCAUGGGCAGGUUGAAGGUUGGGUAACACUAACUGGAGGACCGAACCGACUAAUGUUGAAAAAUUAGCGGAUGACUUGUGGCUGGGGGUGAAAGGCCAAUCAAACCGGGAGAUAGCUGGUUCUCCCCGAAAGCUAUUUAGGUAGCGCCUCGUGAAUUCAUCUCCGGGGGUAGAGCACUGUUUCGGCAAGGGGGUCAUCCCGACUUACCAACCCGAUGCAAACUGCGAAUACCGGAGAAUGUUAUCACGGGAGACACACGGCGGGUGCUAACGUCCGUCGUGAAGAGGGAAACAACCCAGACCGCCAGCUAAGGUCCCAAAGUCAUGGUUAAGUGGGAAACGAUGUGGGAAGGCCCAGACAGCCAGGAUGUUGGCUUAGAAGCAGCCAUCAUUUAAAGAAAGCGUAAUAGCUCACUGGUCGAGUCGGCCUGCGCGGAAGAUGUAACGGGGCUAAACAAUGCACCGAAGCUGCGGCAGCGACACUGUGUGUUGUUGGGUAGGGGAGCGUUCUGUAAGCCUGUGAAGGUGUACUGUAAGGUAUGCUGGAGGUAUCAGAAGUGCGAAUGCUGACAUAAGUAACGAUAAAGCGGGUGAAAAGCCCGCUCGCCGGAAGACCAAGGGUUCCUGUCCAACGUUAAUCGGGGCAGGGUGAGUCGACCCCUAAGGCGAGGCCGAAAGGCGUAGUCGAUGGGAAACAGGUUAAUAUUCCUGUACUUGGUGUUACUGCGAAGGGGGGACGGAGAAGGCUAUGUUGGCCGGGCGACGGUUGUCCCGGUUUAAGCGUGUAGGCUGGUUUUCCAGGCAAAUCCGGAAAAUCAAGGCUGAGGCGUGAUGACGAGGCACUACGGUGCUGAAGCAACAAAUGCCCUGCUUCCAGGAAAAGCCUCUAAGCAUCAGGUAACAUCAAAUCGUACCCCAAACCGACACAGGUGGUCAGGUAGAGAAUACCAAGGCGUUUGAGAGAACUCGGUGAAGGAACUAGGCAAAAUGGUGCCGUAACUUCGGGAGAAGGCACGCUGAUAUGUAGGUGAAGUCCCUCGCGGAUGGAGCUGAAAUCAGUCGAAGAUACCAGCUGGCUGCAACUGUUUAUUAAAAACACAGCACUGUGCAAACACGAAAGUGGACGUAUACGGUGUGACGCCUGCCCGGUGCCGGAAGGUUAAUUGAUGGGGUCAGCGCAAGCGAAGCUCUUGAUCGAAGCCCCGGUAAACGGCGGCCGUAACUAUAACGGUCCUAAGGUAGCGAAAUUCCUUGUCGGGUAAGUUCCGACCUGCACGAAUGGCGUAAUGAUGGCCAGGCUGUCUCCACCCGAGACUCAGUGAAAUUGAACUCGCUGUGAAGAUGCAGUGUACCCGCGGCAAGACGGAAAGACCCCGUGAACCUUUACUAUAGCUUGACACUGAACAUUGAGCCUUGAUGUGUAGGAUAGGUGGGAGGCUUUGAAGUGUGGACGCCAGUCUGCAUGGAGCCGACCUUGAAAUACCACCCUUUAAUGUUUGAUGUUCUAACGUGGACCCGUGAUCCGGGUUGCGGACAGUGUCUGGUGGGUAGUUUGACUGGGGCGGUCUCCUCCUAAAGAGUAACGGAGGAGCACGAAGGUUGGCUAAUCCUGGUCGGACAUCAGGAGGUUAGUGCAAUGGCAUAAGCCAGCUUGACUGCGAGCGUGACGGCGCGAGCAGGUGCGAAAGCAGGUCAUAGUGAUCCGGUGGUUCUGAAUGGAAGGGCCAUCGCUCAACGGAUAAAAAGGUACCCGGGGAUAACAGGCUGAUACCGCCCAAGAGUUCAUAUCGACGGCGGUGUUUGGCACCUCGAUGUCGGCUCAUCACAUCCCGGGGCUGAAGUAGGUCCCAAGGGUAUGGCUGUUCGCCAUUUAAAGUGGUACGCGAGCUGGGUUUAGAACGUCGUGAGACAGUUCGGUCCCUAUCUCGCCGUGGGCGCUGGAGAACUGAGGGGGGCUGCUCCUAGUACGAGAGGACCGGAGUGGACGCAUCACUGGUGUUCGGGUUGUCAUGCCAAUGGCACUGCCCGGUAGCUAAAUGCGGAAGAGAUAAGUGCUGAAAGCAUCUAAGCACGAAACUUGCCCCGAGAUGAGUUCUCCCUGACCCUUUAAGGGUCCUGAAGGAACGUUGAAGACGACGACGUUGAUAGGCCGGGUGUGUAAGCGCAGCGAUGCGUUGAGCUAACCGGUACUAAUGAACCGUGAGGCUUAACCUU